rnacentral:rRNA from 1 species
GAUGAACGCUGGCGGCGUGCCUAAUACAUGCAAGUCGAGCGAAUGGAUUAAGAGCUUGCUCUUAUGAAGUUAGCGGCGGACGGGUGAGUAACACGUGGGUAACCUGCCCAUAAGACUGGGAUAACUCCGGGAAACCGGGGCUAAUACCGGAUAACAUUUUGAACCGCAUGGUUCGAAAUUGAAAGGCGGCUUCGGCUGUCACUGAUGGAUGGACCCGCGUCGCAGUAGCUAGUUGGUGAGGUAACGGCUCACCAAGGCAAGGAUGCGUAGCCGACCUGAGAGGUGGAUCGGCAACUCUGGGACUGAGACACGGCCCAGACUCCUACGGAAGGCAGCAGUAGGGAAUCUUCCGCAAUGGUCGAAAGUCUGACGGAGCAACGCCGCGUGAGUGAUGAAGGCUUUCGGGUCGUAAAACUCUGUUGUUAGGGAAGAACAAGUGCUAGUUGAAUAAGCUGGCACCUUGACGGUACCUAACCAGAAAGCCACGGCUAACUACGUGCCAGCAGCCGCCGUAA